rnacentral:lncRNA from 1 species
ACUAACUACUUCUAACCUCAUUUCCUUCUUCCCCUCCUUCACUCCUCUAUCCUUUGACCUCGUUUAAGCCCUAUCUAAAAAAAAUGGGUUAUUUUAACUUCUAUUACUUUGUUCUUCAUUAUUGUAAGUCGCUUUGGACAAAAGCGUCUGCCAAAUGUAAUGUAAUGUAAAAAUGAUUGAUUAAUCUUUAUAAUAUUUAGUGGUACAAAAAGGACUUUCACUGAAAGGUACUCUGUUGUACGGCAAUAUAAGCUACAGCCCCAGCGACAAGCUUUGUACUCUUUUAAGUACAAAUCUGUACUUAUUUUUCUAAGUGUAUACUGAUACCAAUAUCAUAUUUUAAAUUCGGUACCCGAACAAUACUUUUUUUGAUACUUUUUUUUAAAGGUAGGGUGCCAUCACUGUUGUUUUUACCUUGCUGUGCAUGCUCUCCACAUUUGGUGUGUUUAUUCACGUUUCAAGUAUCAUCAAGUAUCAAAAACAAGCAACACAUUUUUUUUAGACCUUUCUGUGCUCUGUAGUACCAAGACAUUUCGGUUGGUACAUAUUUGGUAUAGAGUUUUCAUAUUUAGCCUGAGUUCUACAUUUGUGGCAAUGUGACUGAAUAAAACAUCUGAAUUGAAUGAUUUAUAGGUGUGUCACAUGACGUUUGUCCAUAUAGUUUAUUAAACAAACAGUAAUACACUGAGUCUUGCAGAUGCAAUUGUAUGAUCCUUAUUUUUCAUCACAGUUGUGAUAAUUGUGAUUUUUCAGGUUAUUAGUCAAUGAAACACAUCACAUAUCAAUGGCCAUAAAUUAAAAACCUGACCCAAUCAAGAUAACUAAACUAACUUUAGAACAAACACAUAUUGAAACCCAAUUGCAGGUUGGUAUUUCUCUUUAGUUCCCCCUCCCUUGACUGUCAGUACUUAUUACUGUGUCAUCUCCCAACAUCAGCUGAUCACAGUAUCAUCUGUCUUCUAACAGCAAUGCGGCCUCUGGUCUCUGAAACAUCCCUGCUCUUUACUGUCCUCAUUAGCACAGUGUUCAGUGCUGAGAAGCUGGAACAGAAGCUCAUGAUAACUAAGCCUGCAUCUAAGCUUGCUAUAUUAGAAUGCAAGUUCUCGGCAAACUGUGGCAACUAUAUCCACUGGUAUCAGAAGAAGGGGGAUGAAAUCAGGAGGGUGCAGCACGUGGAUGUCAACAAUGGAAAUCCUAUAAAUGAGCGUGGAUUUGAGUACCUGAAAUCCUCAAGGAAAGUCACUGAAUGUGAGGACACUAGAAGCUGCCAGCCAUCAGUUCAGCACUUUUUGAACUUGAUUAUCUCACUGUGGUUAAUGAGAAAGUCUUUGGAUCAGGCACAAGACUUUUUGUAACAGGUAAGAAAAUAGCAUUAUAUUUACUGUUUGUAUGUGUAAAUGUAAAUGAAUAGACUGAAUGUAUUUGUG